rnacentral:rRNA from 1 species
GACGAACGCUGGCGGCGUGCUUAACACAUGCAAGUCGAACGAAAAAUCAUUGAAAGCUUGCCGAUAUGAUUUUUAGUGGCGGACGGGUGAGUAACGCGUGAGGACUUGUCUUAUACAGGGGGACAACAGUUGGAAACGGCUGCUAAUACCCCAUAAGCCUUCGGGUAAAAGGAGCAAUCCGGUAUUCGAGAGACUCGCGUCCCAUCAGCUAGUAGGUGAGGCAACGGCUCACCUAGGCGAAGACGGGUAGCCGGCCUGAGAGGGCGAACGGCCACACUGGAACUGAGACACGGUCCAGACUCCUACGGGAGGCAGCAGUGGGGAAUAUUGGGCAAUGGGGGCAACCCUGACCCAGCGACGCCGCGUGAGUGAGGAAAUCCCUCGGGAUGUAAAGCUCUGUUGUGUGGGGAGAUAAUGACGGUACCACACGAGGAAGCCCCGGCAAACUACGUGCCAGCAGCCGCGGUAA